GACGUAGGGCGCGAGCGUUGUCCGGAUUUAUUGGGCGUAAAGAGCUCGUAGGCGGCUUGUCGCGUCGAAUGUGAAAACUUGGGGCUCAACUCCAAGCUUGCAUUCGAUACGGGCAGGCUAGAGUUCGGUAGGGGAGACUGGAAUUCCUGGUGUAGCGGUGAAAUGCGCAGAUAUCAGGAGGAACACCGGUGGCGAAGGCGGGUCUCUGGGCCGAUACUGACGCUGAGACGCGAAAGCGUGGGGAGCAAACAGG
rnacentral:rRNA from 1 species